rnacentral:rRNA from 1 species
CAGCCGUAAACAAUGUGCGUUAGGUGUGUCGGUAACCACGUGUUACUGAUGCGCCGAAGAGAAAUCGUGAAACGCACCACCUGGGAAGUACGGUCGCAAGGCUGAAACUUAAAGGAAUUGGCGGGGGAGCACCACAACAGGUGGAGCCUGCGGUUUAAUUGGAUUCAACGCCGGACAACUCACCGGGGACGACAGCAAUAUGUAGGCCAGGCUGAAGACCUUGCCUGAAUCGCUGAGAGGAGGUGCAUGGCGUAGACGUCU